rnacentral:rRNA from 1 species
CCUACGGGGGGCUGCAGUGAGGAAUAUUGGUCAAUGGACGCAAGUCUGAACCAGCCAUGCCGCGUGCAGGAAGACGGCCCUAUGAGUUGUAAACUGCUUUUGUACGAGGAUAAACGGAGACACGCGUAUCUGUCUGAAAGUAUCGUACGAAUAAGGAUCGGCUAACUCCGUGACAGCAGCCGCGGUAAUACGGAGGAUUCAAGCGUUAUCCGGAUUUAUUGGGUUUAAAGGGUGCGUAGGCGGUAGGUUAAGUUAGUUGUGAAAUUCUGAGGCUCAACUUCGGAAUUGCCUUUGAUACUGGCCGGCUAGAGAGUAGUUGCGGUAGGCGGAAUUUGUGGUGUAGCGGUGAAAUGCAUAGAUAUCACGCAGAACACCGAUUGCGAAGGCAGCUCACGAAUCCGCGAUUGACGUUGAUGCACGAAAGCGUGGGUAUCAAACAGGAUUAGAUACCCCUGUAGUC